rnacentral:rRNA from 1 species
CCUACGGGCGGCAGCAGUGGGGAAUAUUGCACAAUGGGCGCAAGCCUGAUGCAGCCAUGCCGCGUGUGUGAAGAAGGCCUUCGGGUUGUAAAGCACUUUCAGCGGGGAGGAAGGCGGUGAGGUUAAUAACCUCAUCGAUUGACGUUACCCGCAGAAGAAGCACCGGCUAACUCCGUGCCAGCAGCCGCGGUAAUACGGAGGGUGCAAGCGUUAAUCGGAAUUACUGGGCGUAAAGCGCACGCAGGCGGUCUGUCAAGUCGGAUGUGAAAUCCCCGGGCUCAACCUGGGAACUGCAUUCGAAACUGGCAGGCUAGAGUCUUGUAGAGGGGGGUAGAAUUCCAGGUGUAGCGGUGAAAUGCGUAGAGAUCUGGAGGAAUACCGGUGGCGGAGGCGGCCCCCUGGACAAAGACUGACGCUCAGGUGCGAAAGCGUGGGGAGCAAACAGGAUUAGAUACCCGGGUAGUC